CCUACGGGUGGCAGCAGUGGGGAAUAUUGCACAAUGGGGGGAACCCUGAUGCAGCAACGCCGCGUGGGUGAAGAAGUACUUCGGUAUGUAAAGCCCUGUUAGCAGGGAAGCAAAUGACGGUACCUGACCAAGAAGCCCCGGCUAACUACGUGCCAGCAGCCGCGGUAAUACGUAGGGGGCAAGCGUUAUCCGGAUUUACUGGGGGUAAAGGGAGCGUAGUCGGCAAGGCAAGUCUGGAGUGAAAGCCCAGGGCCCAACCACGGGACUGCUGUGGAAACUGUGUUGCUGGAGUGCAGGAGAGGUAAGCGGAAUGCCUGGUGUAGCGGUGAAAUGCGUAGAUAUUAGGAGGAACACCGGUUGCGAAGGCGGCUUACUGGACCGUAACUGACGCUGAGGCUCGAAGGCGUGGGGAGCAAACAGGAUUAGAUACCCCUGUAGUC
rnacentral:rRNA from 1 species